GUGCUUGCUUCUGUAGCACAUACACUAAAACUGGAAUGAUACAGAGAAGAUUAGCUUGGCCUUCACACAAGGAUGACAUAACUGAACUUGAGAAUUAAAUACGUAGU